rnacentral:misc_RNA from 1 species
GAUGAAGAACGUAGCGAAAUGCGAUAAGUAAUGUGAAUUGCAGAAUUCAGUGAAUCAUCGAAUCUUUGAACGCACAUUGCGCCCGCCAGUAUUCUGGCGGGCAUGCCUGUUCGAGCGUCAUUUCAACCAUCAAGCCCCCGGCUUGUGUUGGGGACCUGCGGCUGCCGCAGGCCCUGAAAACCAGUGGCGGGCUCGCUAGUCACUCCGAGCGUAGUAAUACAUCUCGCUCAGGGCGUGCUGCGGGUUCCGGCCGUUAAAAAGCCUUAUUUACCCAAGGUUGACCUCGGAUCGGGUAGGAAGACCCGCUGAACUUAAGCAUAUCAAUAAGCGGAGGA